rnacentral:sRNA from 1 species
AUGGCUGUCGUCAGCUCGUGUCGUGAGAUGUUGGGUUAAGUCCCGCAACGAGCGCAACCCUUACUUUUAGUUGCUACCAUUCAGUUGGGCACUCUAAAAGAACUGCCAGUGAUAAGCUGGAGGAAGGUGGGGAUGACGUCAAGUCCUCAUGGCCCUUACGUGUUGGGCUACACACGUGCUACAAUGGUAUUUACAGUGGGAUGCUAAGAGGCAACUCCAAGCCAACCCCCAAAAGAUACCUCAGUUCGGAUUGCACUCUGCAACUCGAGUGCAUGAAGCUGGAAUUACUAGUAAUCGUGGAUCAGCGCGCCACGGUGAAUACGUUCCCGGGUCUUGUACACACCGCCCGUCACACCAUGGAAGUUGGUUACACCUUAAGGCAAAGUGUAAAAACUUUGACUACGGUACGAUCAGCGACUGGGGUGAAGUCGUAACAAGGUAGCCGUAGGGGAACCUGCGGCUGGAUCACCUCCUUUCUAAGGAAAUCGAAAAAUAUUAAAACAAUUAUUUUCGAUUUAAAAAAAACCGGUAAUGUGACCGUCCUCAUUUCUCUUCUUUUAAUGUCUCUGAGUAAAAAUAGUGUAAGGGGCCGGUAGCUCAGGUGGUUAGAGCGCACCCCUGAUAAGGGUGAGGUCGGAAGUUCGAAUCUUCCUCGGCCCACCAAUAUUAUGGGGGAUUAGCUCAGCUGGGAGAGCGCCUGAUUUGCAUUCAGGAGGCCAGCGGUUCGAUCCCGCUAUCCUCCACCAAAAUUUGAGACAUUUAGCUUUUUUAAAUUGUGAAUAAUUUUAUUAUCAAUAUCUAUAUCCGAUUGUUUUCAUAUAUUUUUUUGAAAACAAUCAAAACAAAAAUUUGAAUUUUACACAGAAAGUUUUUUUCUGUGCAUAAAUCAAGCGUUUAAGGGCGAUUGGCGGAUGCCUUGGCACUGUAAGACGAUGAAGGACGUGGUAUACUGCGAUAAGUUUCGGGGAGCUGUAUGCAAGCUUUGAUCCGAAAAUUUCCGAAUGGGGAAACCCGG